rnacentral:rRNA from 1 species
UACGGGGGGGGCAAGCGUUGUUCGGAGUUACUGGGCGUAAAGGGGGCGUAGGCGGCUUCUUAAGUCUGGUGGGAAAUCUCCCGGCUCAACUGGGAGGGUGCGCCGGAUACUGAGGGGCUAGAGUGUGGGAGAGGAAAGUGGAAUUCCUGGUGUAGCGGUGAAAUGCGUAGAUAUCAGGAGGAACACCGGUGGUGUAAACGGCUUUCUGGACCAUAACUGACGCUGAGGCACGAAAGCGUGGGUAGCAAACAGG